UAGGGAAUCUUCCACAAUGGGCGAAAGCCUGAUGGAGCAACGCCGCGUGUGUGAUGAAGGGUUUCGGCUCGUAAAACACUGUUGUAAGAGAAGAAUGACAUUGAGAGUAACUGUUCAAUGUGUGACGGUAUCUUACCAGAAAGGAACGGCUAAAUACGUUCAG
rnacentral:rRNA from 1 species